rnacentral:rRNA from 1 species
GACGAACGCUGGCGGCGUGCUUAACACAUGCAAGUCGAACGGAAAGGCCCUGCUUUUGUGGGGUGCUCGAGUGGCGAACAGGUGAGUAACACGUGAGUAACCUGCCCUUGACUUUGGGAUAACUUCAGGAAACUGGGGCUACUACCGGAUAGGAGCUCCUGCUGCAUGGUGGGGGUUGGAAAGUUUCGGCGGUUGGGGAUGGACUCGCGGCUUAUCAGCUUGUUGGUGGGGUAGUGGCUUACCAAGGCUUUGACGGGUAGCCGGCCUGGGAGGGUGACCGGCCACAUUGGGACUGAGAUACGGCCCAGACUCCUACGGGAGGCAGCAGGGGGGAAUAUGGCACAAUGGGCGGAAGCCUGAUGCAGCAACGCCGCGUGCGGGAUGACGGCCUUCGGGUUGUAAACCGCUUUCGCCUGUGACGAAGCGUGAGUGACGGUAAUGGGUAAAGAAGCACCGGCUAACUACGUG